UUAAAAAUUUAAAAUUUUGUAAUAUUUUUUGUUUUGGUUUUGAAAGCGAAGAAAAUCUAAUUGGUGCACAAUAAAAUGGUAGCUGCGGCUUCGAACCUAAAUCGACCAACACAUCUUUGUGGAGCUAAUAUCAAAACCUCAUUUGGUCGCAUAUUGGGUAAUUGAGAAUCGGGGAAGUGCCGGCCCUCAAGAUUUACGGAAUUUGAUCAAUAUCACAUCAAAUAGUGGAUUUAUAUCCUCUGAGAAGCUGAAACGCUAAAAUACUAAUUUGAUUGGAAAAUGAAAAACAAUGCAUCAAAAUUCGAACUGGUCGCGUGAGGAAUUUCUGGAUAUACCGUUGAAUAAGUAGCAAAAACAUGCAAAAUUUUGAGUGUCAGAGGGGAGAAGCGAGUGCUAUAUGAGGGAUAAACCUGAACGGGGACUGAUAUACCUCCUUUAAUAUUAAUCAUCCCCUAUGGAUAAAAGGUACACAACUCCGGCCACCAAAAUUCAAAGAUAACAAUUGAUCAUAUAUAUGUUCAGCAGAUAUCUGAUACUCUUGAUAGUCCCAUUGGAUUUGUAUAACCCUGAAUUUUAUUAAAAAAAGCACAAAUUGUUUAUAUU